rnacentral:rRNA from 1 species
UACGUAGGUGGCGAGCGUUGUCCGGAAUUACUGGGCGUAAAGGGUGCGUAGGCGGGAUAUUAAGUUAGAUGUGAAAACCCCGGGCUUAACCUGGGGAGUGCCUUUGAAACUGGUGACCUAGAGUGCAGGAGAGGUAAGCGGAAUUCCUAGUGUAGCGGUGAAAUGCGUAGAUAUUAGGAAGAACAUCAGUGGCGAAGGCGGCUUACUGGACUGU